AUGAGAAAAGCUGUUCGAACUAGAAUCACAGUGUGCUUGUCCAUGCUGUCCUCACCCUACCCUCUUUUCAUCCUCAGAGCCCGAAUGCAAAGGGGAUUUCUGAAGUCAGAGACCAGGUCUUUCUCUUCUGUGGAGUUCUGUCCAGUGCGGAGCUGUGUGGGGUGUGCUCCAUUUCACCUGGAGCUCUGUGGCUCCUGCUGUCUCCAUGCCUGCAGGCGUUGGGUGACGUUUCCUGGACUGUGUUGUCAGCUGGUCCUGGACCCAGAACUGGAAAUCAGCCUUAGAAUACAGACAACCCCUGCCAGAGAGAGGCAGGCGUCCCUUUGAUGACUGAAGGCACAGGUCACUUGGAAGAGUGGAAGCCUCAUCAGGCUCCGUCAGGCUUGACAGGGCAUCUGUUUGCUGGAGCACAGUGGAUAUAAGCAGAGCAGCUGCCAGCCUCUGCGUUGGUUGGGGUUUUGUGUUUGCUGCUUUGUUUGUCUAACGUUAUUCUCCACUAAAACCACCCCCAUUUGGCAUCAAAAGCAUUAAUAAACCCUCCACAACCUACUGUCUCUCCUGUGGUUAAUCAAUCCAUACAAAUCUAUUUAGCACCUACUGUGUGUCCGGCAUUUCAGCCCCAUGACAUUGAUUAAAACAGGAAGUAAGAAGUCACAGCCGCUGGGUUUUCACUGGGGCCCUGUUUUGUGAUGUGUCACAAGGCACGUGCCAAUCGCUUGCUUAGCCGUUUACGGUGACCCUCCUUCCUGCUGCGCUAUGCUGGGGGCUCUCAGGAAGACAGGGUUGGUGUAUCAGGUAGUUUAGGCUUCAGUCAUUUCUACCCUGCUCACCCCCCCCCCA
rnacentral:lncRNA from 1 species